AUUGAACGCUGGCGGCAUGCCUAACACAUGCAAGUCGAGCGAGCGGCGGACGGGUGAGUAAUGUAUGGGGAACGCCCGCUAGAGCGGGGUAACUACAGGAAACGGUAGCUUAUACCCCAUACUAUCGUAUGUACCCAUAUGGGAUUAGCUAGAAGGGGGGGUAAUGGCUCACCAAGGCGACGAUCCCUAGCUGGUCUGAGAGGAUGAUCAGCCACACUGGGACUGAGACACGGCCCAGACUCCUACGGGAGGCAGCAGUGGGGAAUAUUGCACAAUGGGCGAAAGCCUGAUGCAGCCAUGCCGCGUGUAUGAUGAAGGCCUUAGGGUUGUAAAGUACUUUCAGUAGGGAAGCGGUACCGACAGAAUAAGCACCGGCUAACUCCGUGCCAGCAGCCGCGGUAAUAC
rnacentral:rRNA from 1 species